AUUGAACGCUGGCGGCAUGCUUUACACAUGCAAGUCGGACGGCAGCACAGAGAAGCUUGCUUCUUGGGUGGCGAGUGGCGAACGGGUGAGUAACAUAUCGGAACGUACCGAGCAGUGGGGGAUAACUAAUCGAAAGAUUAGCUAAUACCGCAUAUUUUCUGAGGAAGAAAGCAGGGGACCAUUUGGCCUUGCGCUGUUUGAGCGGCCGAUAUCUGAUUAGCUAGUUGGUGGGGUAAAGGCUUACCAAGGCGACGAUCAGUAGCGGGUCUGAGAGGAUGAUCCGCCACACUGGGACUGAGACACGGCCCAGACUCCUACGGGAGGCAGCAGUGGGGAAUUUUGGACAAUGGGCGCAAGCCUGAUCCAGCCAUGCCGCGUGUCUGAAGAAGGCCUUCGGGUUGUAAAGGACUUUUGUCAGGGAAGAAAAGGGCGGGGUUAAUACCCCUGUCUGAAGAC
rnacentral:rRNA from 1 species